GACGAACGCUGGCGGCGUGCUUAACACAUGCAAGUCGAACGGAAAGGCCCUGCUUUUGUGGGGUGCUCGAGUGGCGAACGGGUGAGUAACACGUGAGUAACCUGCCCUUGACUUUGGGAUAACUUCAGGAAACUGGGGCUAAUACCGGGUAGGAGCUCCUGCUGCAUGGUGGGGGUUGGAAAGUUUCGGCGGUUGGGGAUGGACUCGCGGCUUAUCAGCUUGUUGGUGGGGUAGUGGCUUACCAAGGCUUUGACGGGUAGCCGGCCUGAGUGGGUGACCGGCACCAUGGGGAUGGGGAUACGGCCCAGAUCCCGAGGGGGGGAAGCAGGGGGGAAUUUUGCACAAGGGGCGGAAGCCUGAUGCAGCACCGCCGCGUGGGGGAUGACGGCCUUCGGGUUGUAAACCGCUUUCGCCUGUGACGAAGGGUGGGGGAGGGUAAUGGGUAAAGAAGCACCGGCAAAUUAGGU
rnacentral:rRNA from 1 species